AUACUUACCUGGCAAGGGAGAAACUGUGAUCAAGAAGGCAGUUCACCCAGGGUGAGGCUCAGCCAUUGCACUCCGGCUGUGCUGACCCCUGCGAAUUUCCCAAAUGUGGAAAUCUCUUUUAGCUCGGC
ensembl:snRNA U1 U1 spliceosomal RNA